ACGUAGGUGGCAAGCGUUGUCCGGAAUUAUUGGGCGUAAAGGGCGCGCAGGCGGUUCCUUAAGUCUGAUGUGAAACCUUGCGGCUUAACCGCAAGCGGUCAUUGGAAACUGGGGGACUUGAGUGCAGAAGAGGAGAGUGGAAUUCCACGUGUAGCGGUGAAAUGCGUAGAGAUGUGGAGGAACACCAGUGGCGAAGGCGGCUCUCUGGUCUGCAACUGACGCUGAGGCGCGAAAGCGUGGGUAGCGAACAGGA
rnacentral:rRNA from 1 species